CGGCAGCGAAGGCCGGCAGCCCGCAGGUUCCAGAAAGAAAACAAGGUGAGGAUGUGAUCAAUAAUUUGCUUGUCAUCAUCGUUGUGUUAGAACCACAGCUAAACCAGAGCCAGAAAUCACACCCAGAUCUCCUGGAUUGAACCCUUUUUCUCCCUUCCCUUUCACUAAACUGGCAAAGAAAGGCUUAAGGCAGAUGAAUCCUAUCUCAGAUGGGUGAAACCAUUAACAUAUGAAUGAACAGAGAAAUUGUGGAGUAUAUACUCAAUGGUGUACUACACAGCUGUAAAGAAAGAUGAAAUGGUGGCAUUUGGGAUAAAAUGGAUGGAC